rnacentral:rRNA from 1 species
UUAAGCGACUAAGCGUACACGGUGGAUGCCCUGGCAGUCAGAGGCGAUGAAGGACGUGCUAAUCUGCGAAAAGCGUCGGUAAGGUGAUAUGAACCGUUACAGCCGGCGAUGUCCGAAUGGGGAAACCCAGUGCAAUUCGUUGCACUAUCGUUAACUGAAUACAUAGGUUAACGAGGCGAACCGGGGGAACUGAAACAUCUAAGUACCCCGAGGAAAAGAAAUCAACCGAGAUUCCCCCAGUAGCGGCGAGCGAACGGGGAGCAGCCCAGAGUCUGAAUCAGCUUGUGUGUUAGUGGAACGGUCUGGAAAGUCCGACGGUACAGGGUGAUAGUCCCGUACACCAAAAUGCACAGGUUGUGAACUCGAAGAGUAGGGCGGGACACGUGGUAUCCUGUCUGAAUAUGGGGGACCAUCCUCCAAGGCUAAAUACUCCUGACUGACCGAUAGUGAACCAGUACCGUGAGGGAAAGGCGAAAAGAACCCCGGCGAGGGGAGUGAAAAAGAACCUGAAACCGUGUACGUACAAGCAGUGGGAGCACCUUCGGGUGUGACUGCGUACCUUUUGUAUAAUGGGUCAGCGACUUAUAUUCUGUAGCAAGGUUAACCGUAUAGGGGAGCCGCAGGGAAACCGAGUCUUAACUGGGCGUUAAGUUGCAGGGUAUAGACCCGAAACCCGGUGAUCUAGCCAUGGGCAGGUUGAAGGUUGGGUAACACUAACUGGAGGACCGAACCGACUAAUGUUGAAAAUUAGCGGAUGACUUGUGGCUGGGGGUGAAAGGCCAAUCAAACCGGGAGAUAGCUGGUUCUCCCCGAAAGCUAUUUAGGUAGCGCCUCGUGAACUCAUCUUCGGGGGUAGAGCACUGUUUCGGCUAGGGGGUCAUCCCGACUUACCAACCCGAUGCAAACUACGAAUACCGAAGAAUGUUAUCACGGGAGACACACGGCGGGUGCUAACGUCCGUCGUGAAGAGGGAAACAACCCAGACCGCCAGCUAAGGUCCCAAAGUCAUGGUUAAGUGGGAAACGAUGUGGGAAGGCACAGACAGCCAGGAUGUUGGCUUAGAAGCAGCCAUCAUUUAAAGAAAGCGUAAUAGCUCACUGGUCGAGUCGGCCUGCGCGGAAGAUGUAACGGGGCUAAACCAUGCACCGAAGCUGCGGCAGCGACACUAUGUGUUGUUGGGUAGGGGAGCGUUCUGUAAGCCUGCGAAGGUGUGCUGUGAGGCAUGCUGGAGGUAUCAGAAGUGCGAAUGCUGACAUAAGUAACGAUAAAGCGGGUGAAAAGCCCGCUCGCCGGAAGACCAAGGGUUCCUGUCCAACGUUAAUCGGGGCAGGGUGAGUCGACCCCUAAGGCGAGGCCGAAAGGCGUAGUCGAUGGGAAACAGGUUAAUAUUCCUGUACUUGGUGUUACUGCGAAGGGGGGACGGAGAAGGCUAUGUUAGCCGGGCGACGGUUGUCCCGGUUUAAGCAUGUAGGCUGAUUGUCCAGGCAAAUCCGGAUAAUCAAGGCUGAGGUGUGAUGACGAGGCACUACGGUGCUGAAGUAACAAAUGCCCUGCUUCCAGGAAAAGCCUCUAAGCAUCAGGUAACAUUAAAUCGUACCCCAAACCGACACAGGUGGUCAGGUAGAGAAUACCAAGGCGCUUGAGAGAACUCGGGUGAAGGAACUAGGCAAAAUGGUGCCGUAACUUCGGGAGAAGGCACGCUGGUGUGUAGGUGAAGUCCCUGCGGAUGGAGCUGAGACCAGUCGAAGAUACCAGCUGGCUGCAACUGUUUAUUAAAAACACAGCACUGUGCAAACACGAAAGUGGACGUAUACGGUGUGACGCCUGCCCGGUGCCGGAAGGUUAAUUGAUGGGGUUAUCCGUAAGGAGAAGCUCUUGAUCGAAGCCCCGGUAAACGGCGGCCGUAACUAUAACGGUCCUAAGGUAGCGAAAUUCCUUGUCGGGUAAGUUCCGACCUGCACGAAUGGCGUAAUGAUGGCCAGGCUGUCUCCACCCGAGACUCAGUGAAAUUGAACUCGCUGUGAAGAUGCAGUGUACCCGCGGCAAGACGGAAAGACCCCGUGAACCUUUACUAUAGCUUGACACUGAACAUUGAGCCUUGAUGUGUAGGAUAGGUGGGAGGCUUUGAAGCGUGGACGCCAGUCUGCGUGGAGCCAACCUUGAAAUACCACCCUUUAAUGUUUGAUGUUCUAACGUUGGCCCCUGACCGGGGUUGCGGACAGUGUCUGGUGGGUAGUUUGACUGGGGCGGUCUCCUCCCAAAGCGUAACGGAGGAGCACGAAGGUUAGCUAAUCCUGGUCGGACAUCAGGAGGUUAGUGCAAUGGCAUAAGCUAGCUUGACUGCGAGCGUGACGGCGCGAGCAGGUGCGAAAGCAGGUCAUAGUGAUCCGGUGGUUCUGAAUGGAAGGGCCAUCGCUCAACGGAUAAAAGGUACUCCGGGGAUAACAGGCUGAUACCGCCCAAGAGUUCAUAUCGACGGCGGUGUUUGGCACCUCGAUGUCGGCUCAUCACAUCCUGGGGCUGAAGUAGGUCCCAAGGGUAUGGCUGUUCGCCAUUUAAAGUGGUACGCGAGCUGGGUUUAGAACGUCGUGAGACAGUUCGGUCCCUAUCUGCCGUGGGCGCUGGAGAAUUGAGGGGGGCUGCUCCUAGUACGAGAGGACCGGAGUGGACGCAUCACUGGUGUUCGGGUUGUCAUGCCAAUGGCACUGCCCGGUAGCUAAAUGCGGAAGAGAUAAGUGCUGAAAGCAUCUAAGCACGAAACUUGCCCCGAGAUGAGUUCUCCCUGAGACUUUAAGUCUCCUGAAGGAACGUUGAAGACGACGACGUUGAUAGGCCGGGUGUGUAAGCGCAGCGAUGCGUUGAGCUAACCGGUACUAAUGAACCGUGAGGCUUAACCUU